rnacentral:tRNA from 1 species
GGUUCCGUGGUCUAGUUGGUUAUGUCGACUGCUUUACACGCAGUAAGUCCCCAGUUCGAUCCUGGGCGGAAUCA